CGGGACGGGUGAGUAAUGCUUGGGAAUCUAGCUUAUGGAGGGGGAUAACUACGGGAAACUGUAGCUAAUACCGCGUAAUAUCGAAAGAUUAAAGUGUGGGACCUUCGGGCCACAUGCCAUAGGAUGAGCCCAAGCGGGAUUAGGUAGUUGGUGAGGUAAAGGCUCACCAAGCCGACGAUCUCUAGCUGGUCUGAGAGGAUGACCAGCCACACUGGGACUGAGACACGGCCCAG
rnacentral:rRNA from 1 species